AGCGAACGCUGGCGGCAGGCCUAACACAUGCAAGUCGAACGAAGUCUUCGGACUUAGUGGCGGACGGGUGAGUAACACGUGGGAACGCGCCCUUCGGUUCGGAAUAACUCAGGGAAACUUGGGCUAAUACCGGAUACGCCCUUACGGGGAAAGAUUUAUUGCCGAAGGAACGGCCCGCGUCCGAUUAGCUUGUUGGUGAGGUAACGGCUCACCAAGGCAACGAUCGGUAGCUGGUCUGAGAGGAUGACCAGCCUCACUGGGACUGAGACACGGCCCAGACUCCUACGGGAGGCAGCAGUGGGGAAUAUUGGACAAUGGGCGCAAGCCUGAUCCAGCCAUGCCGCGUGGGUGAUGAAGGCCCUAGGGUUGUAAAGCCCUUUCGGCGGGGAAGAUAAUGACGGUACCCGCAGAAGAAGCCCCGGCUAACUUCGUGCCAGCAGCCGCGGUAAUAC
rnacentral:rRNA from 1 species